rnacentral:rRNA from 1 species
CAGUGAUCACUUUAACGGCCGCGGUACCCUGACCGUGCAAAGGUAGCAUAAUCAUUUGCCUUUUAAUUGGAGGCUAGUAUGAAUGGUCUAACGAGAGUAAAACUGUCUCAUAUAUAUUCAAUAAAAACUAACCUAAAGGUGCAAAGGCCUUUAUCCACUAAAAAGACGAGAAGACCCUGUUGAGCUUUAAUCUUAAUGAGCAUCCUCCCUAUAUUUAUAAAUUUAUUUUGCUCGAUAAAGAUUUUAAUUGGGGCGAUUAAGGAACAAUUAUCAGCUUCCUGAUUAUAAAUUAAAUCGAUCCAGCAUUGCUGAUCAACAAAAUGAGUUACCACAGGGAUAACAGCAUAAUUCUUCUUGAGAGCCCACAUCGAAAGAAGAGAUUGUGACCUCGAUGUUGGACUAGGGUAACUGGAAGGUGUAGCCGCUUUCCUGUUUGGUCUGUUCGACCAGUAAUUCCCU